rfam:Camelus ferus unplaced genomic scaffold scaffold62282, whole genome shotgun sequence.
GAGGGUAUAGCUCAGUGGUAGAGAGCAUGCAUAGCAUGCAUGAGGUUCAGGAUUCAAUCCCCAGUACUUCCA